rnacentral:rRNA from 1 species
UACGUAGGGUGCGAGCGUUAAUCGGAAUUACUGGGCGUAAAGCGUGCGCAGGCGGUUAUGUAAGACAGAUGUGAAAUCCCCGGGCUCAACCUGGGAACUGCAUUUGUGACUGCAUAGCUAGAGUACGGUAGAGGGGGAUGGAAUUCCGCGUGUAGCAGUGAAAUGCGUAGAUAUGCGGAGGAACACCGAUGGCGAAGGCAAUCCCCUGGACCUGUACUGACGCUGAGACGCGAAAGCGUGGGGAGCGAACAGG